rnacentral:lncRNA from 1 species
CUGGCCUCCCCAGGACAUGGGCACGGCACCCCUUGGGGACAACGCCAUGGGAAGGUGAGGCCCUGGCUUACAGAGUCAAGUGUGUGCUUCGAGCCACAAACAAACACAUGGGGCUGUCCCCUCCAGCCAGACCACUGUGUCCGGGAACCAAAGAGUGGCGGUGGGAGGGGGCCCUCCAGGGAUGCCCCCAUCCCUUCAAUUCUGCCCCACGUCUGAGCUCUGAUGGCACGGGAGGCUUGGUUCUCGAGGGAGGACAGGCCCGCCAGCGAGCACCUCCCUUGGCUUCUUUGACUUGGGAGCUGGGGCUGCCCCUUGGAAACGUGGGGCUCCUGAUGGCACCGAAUCGAUAUACUGAGAGGCAGCUUCCUCACUGAGCAGGGUGAUGGAGCCCGAAUGCCAAGGAGAAAGGGAGUUAUCGCUUCACGCUGAGGUCGAGGAUGGGGAGAACUGUGUCUGGAGCCCAGGGGAUUCUCCUCCGCCUCUACGGUGCCUGUUAGUUCUCUUACCAUUAAUGGCAAAAACGACAAAAGGAAAACUGCAGCAGACAGAUAGGUAGAUGGAUAGUAGGUGGUAAAUAGAUGGAGAGAGCGAGCGAUAGGCAGACAGAUGAUAGAUCGGCAGAUGGUGGGUAAGUAUAUAGAUGAAGGAUGGACAGACAGACAGACAGGAGGGUGACAGGGUUUGGGCCCUUCGGGAAUGAAAGCAUCAAUCCCCACCAGCCAAAGAAACCUCAGCCAGCGGAGAGCCUGCGAAGGGAAGAUGAAAUGCCUUCUGACGGUGAUGGGACAAGGACAGUGACAAUUGUCCCUAUUCCCCUACCUCUUAAGGUCAAGGAAGCUAACACGGCAACAGCGACAGCAGCGGAAGGAGGACGCAAGCAGCGACACAAAGCUGCGGUCAAUAACAGGCUGAGACCAAUAGUAACGGCGGGAGGACAACGGCUGGACGCCCCGCCCCGCCCCGCCCCGCCCACGCCCCGCCCCGUCCCCCGCCCCGCCCCGCCCCGCCCC